rnacentral:rRNA from 1 species
AUUGAACGCUGGCGGCAUGCUUUACACAUGCAAGUCGAACGGUAACAGGGAGCUUACUCCGCUGACGAGUGGCGAACGGGUGAGUAAUAUAUCGGAACGUACCCAAGAGUGGGGGAUAACGUAGCGAAAGUUACGCUAAUACCGCAUACGAUCUAAGGAUGAAAGCAGGGGACCUUCGGGCCUUGUGCUCCUGGAGCGGCCGAUAUCUGAUUAGCUAGUUGGUGAGGUAAAGGCUCACCAAGGCGACGAUCAGUAGCUGGUCUGAGAGGACGACCAGCCACACUGGAACUGAGACACGGUCCAGACUCCUACGGGAGGCAGCAGUGGGGAAUUUUGGACAAUGGGCGCAAGCCUGAUCCAGCAAUGCCGCGUGAGUGAAGAAGGCCUUCGGGUUGUAAAGCUCUUUUGUCAGGGAAGAAACGGGAUUGGCUAAUAUCCAGUCCUAAUGACGGUACCUGAAGAAUAAGCACCGGCUAACUACGUG